UUAAGCGACUAAGCGUACACGGUGGAUGCCCUGGCAGUCAGAGGCGAUGAAGGACGUGCUAAUCUGCGAAAAGCGUCGGUAAGGUGAUAUGAACCGUUAUAACCGGCGAUGUCCGAAUGGGGAAACCCAGUGUGAUUCGUCACACUAUCGUUAACUGAAUACAUAGGUUAACGAGGCGAACCGGGGGAACUGAAACAUCUAAGUACCCCGAGGAAAAGAAAUCAACCGAGAUUCCCCCAGUAGCGGCGAGCGAACGGGGAGCAGCCCAGAGUCUGAAUCAGCUUGUGUGUUAGUGGAACGGUCUGGAAAGUCCGACGGUACAGGGUGAUAGUCCCGUACACCAAAAUGCACAGGUUGUGAACUCGAAGAGUAGGGCGGGACACGUGGUAUCCUGUCUGAAUAUGGGGGGACCAUCCUCCAAGGCUAAAUACUCCUGACUGACCGAUAGUGAACCAGUACCGUGAGGGAAAGGCGAAAAGAACCCCGGCGAGGGGAGUGAAAAAGAACCUGAAACCGUGUACGUACAAGCAGUGGGAGCACCUUCGGGUGUGACUGCGUACCUUUUGUAUAAUGGGUCAGCGACUUAUAUUCUGUAGCAAGGUUAACCGUAUAGGGGAGCCGCAGGGAAACCGAGUCUUAACUGGGCGUUAAGUUGCAGGGUAUAGACCCGAAACCCGGUGAUCUAGCCAUGGGCAGGUUGAAGGUUGGGUAACACUAACUGGAGGACCGAACCGACUAAUGUUGAAAAAUUAGCGGAUGACUUGUGGCUGGGGGUGAAAGGCCAAUCAAACCGGGAGAUAGCUGGUUCUCCCCGAAAGCUAUUUAGGUAGCGCCUCGUGAACUCAUCUUCGGGGGUAGAGCACUGUUUCGGCUAGGGGGUCAUCCCGACUUACCAACCCGAUGCAAACUACGAAUACCGAAGAAUGUUAUCACGGGAGACACACGGCGGGUGCUAACGUCCGUCGUGAAGAGGGAAACAACCCAGACCGCCAGCUAAGGUCCCAAAGUCAUGGUUAAGUGGGAAACGAUGUGGGAAGGCACAGACAGCCAGGAUGUUGGCUUAGAAGCAGCCAUCAUUUAAAGAAAGCGUAAUAGCUCACUGGUCGAGUCGGCCUGCGCGGAAGAUGUAACGGGGCUAAACCAUGCACCGAAGCUGCGGCAGCGACACUAUGUGUUGUUGGGUAGGGGAGCGUUCUGUAAGCCUGCGAAGGUGACCUGUGAGGGUUGCUGGAGGUAUCAGAAGUGCGAAUGCUGACAUAAGUAACGAUAAAGCGGGUGAAAAGCCCGCUCGCCGGAAGACCAAGGGUUCCUGUCCAACGUUAAUCGGGGCAGGGUGAGUCGACCCCUAAGGCGAGGCCGAAAGGCGUAGUCGAUGGGAAACAGGUUAAUAUUCCUGUACUUGGUGUUACUGCGAAGGGGGGACGGAGAAGGCUAUGUUAGCCGGGCGACGGUUGUCCCGGUUUAAGCAUGUAGGCUGGUUGUCCAGGCAAAUCCGGAUAAUCAAGGCUGAGGUGUGAUGACGAGGCACUACGGUGCUGAAGUAACAAAUGCCCUGCUUCCAGGAAAAGCCUCUAAGCAUCAGGUAACAUCAAAUCGUACCCCAAACCGACACAGGUGGUCAGGUAGAGAAUACCAAGGCGCUUGAGAGAACUCGGGUGAAGGAACUAGGCAAAAUGGUGCCGUAACUUCGGGAGAAGGCACGCUGGUGUGUAGGUGAAGUCCCUGCGGAUGGAGCUGAGACCAGUCGAAGAUACCAGCUGGCUGCAACUGUUUAUUAAAAACACAGCACUGUGCAAACACGAAAGUGGACGUAUACGGUGUGACGCCUGCCCGGUGCCGGAAGGUUAAUUGAUGGGGUUAGCGCAAGCGAAGCUCUUGAUCGAAGCCCCGGUAAACGGCGGCCGUAACUAUAACGGUCCUAAGGUAGCGAAAUUCCUUGUCGGGU
rnacentral:rRNA from 1 species